GACGAACUGUCCUAACGUUGUUCGGAAUCACUGGGCUUAAAGGGCGCGUAGGCGGUCCGACAAGUCAGGGGUGAAAUCCUGCAGCUUAACUGUAGAAGUGCCUUUGAUACUGUCGGUCUUGAGGGAAAUAGGGGUGUGCGGAACUUCCAGUGGAGCGGUGAAAUGCGUUGAUAUUGGAAGGAACGCCGGAGGCGAAAGCGGCGCACUGGAUUUCUUCUGACGCUGAGGCGCGAAAGCUAGGGGAGCAAACGGG
rnacentral:rRNA from 1 species